GUCCUACUCACACUAGAGGAGCCUGUCCUAUAAUCGAUACUCCACGUUAUACCUUACCCCCCCUCGCUCAACCUAUAUACCGCCGUCAUCAGCCUACACUGUGAAACCACCACCGUAAGCAAAACCACAACACAUAAACACGACAGGUCAAGGUGUAGUUCAUGGGGGGACAGCGAUGAGCUACAUUUUCUAUAUAGAAAAUCACCGCCGGCACCGUGAAAUUGCUUAAAGGCGGAUUUAGAAGUAAACUUGGCAAGCUAUGCCAACUUGACGCCCUAGGACGC
rnacentral:rRNA from 1 species